AACGAACGCUGGCGGCACGUUUUAAGCAUGCAAGUCGAAUGGCAGUGGGGGCAACCCCAUGAGAAUGGCGAACGGGUGAGUAACACGUAGGUGAUCUGCCUGACGGAUGGGGAUAGCUUGUGGAAACACAGGGUAAUACCGAAUGAGCUGACGAGACUUUGGGUUUGUUAGUAAAGGUGCUACGGCACCGCCGACAGAGGAGCCUGCGGCUGAUUAGCUAGUUGGUGGGGUAAAGGCCUACCAAGGCGACGAUCAGUAGCCGGCCUGAGAGGGUGUACGGCCACACUGGAACUGAGACACGGUCCAGACUCCUACGGGAGGCAGCAGCUAAGAAUCUUCCGCAAUGGGCGAAAGCCUGACGGAGCGAUGCCGCGUGAUCGAUGAAGGUCGAGAGAUUGUAAAGAUCUUUUCUACAUGAGGAAUAAGUCUGGGAGGGAAUGCCUGGACGAUGACGUUAGUGUAGGAAUAAGCCCCGGCUAAUUACGUGCCAGCAGCCGCCGUAA
rnacentral:rRNA from 1 species